rnacentral:Y_RNA from 1 species
GGCUGGUCUGAGUAUGGUGGUAUUCACAACUAAUUGAUCACAACCAGUUUCACAUUCCUUUGUUCCUUCUCCACUCCCACUGCUUCACUUGAUUAGCCUUAA